UUUCUCCAUUCUCUUAAUCUAAACAAAAAACCCUAACUACUCUUUCUCCAUUCACUUCCUUCCACUUCUUUUUCUCCAUUCUCUUAAUCUAAACAAAAAACCCUAAAUCUCGACCAUGAAUCCUGCAUAGUUGCCAAAAUCUAUGGUGCUUUUCUAUUCCGGUUUAUGGUAGAAUUGCAGCUGAUCUGUCACUGUAGGACGUGUUUUACUUGUAUCAGGCUCCAAUCACCCCCAUCCCAUUUAAAUGCCUAGAGGAGGAUUUAUCGGACGACUUAGAGGAGCCUCAUCCCGUGGCACUCAGCUUAAGGAACUAGAGGACGUUCCUCCUGAGCUAGAGAAUCUCUUCACACUUUUUGACGCAGAAGUGUCACCAGAAGAAGAAAGGGAAGAAGAAGGUGAUGAAAAAACAGUUGGAGUACAUUCACCAAUAGCACCUGAUCAACCUGAUCUCCCUGAUCGAUACGGAAGAAAAAUAAUACAUCUUGGGGAGGAUGCAAUGCUCUACCCUACCAAAGAUGUACUCCCUCCGUCCCAAAUAAUUCGUCCCAGUAUUCCAUUUCGGCUUGUCCCACAUAAUUUGUCCCACUUCA